CAGAGGAGGAGGAGGAGGAGGCAGAGGCGGGCCAGGCCGGCCCCCUGGGUUCCCGGGUCGUGGGCGUUCCUGAGGCCGCAGAGCCCUACAGCGUGAACAACCACAGAAGGAAAAAGAGUGCUGUUGUGAAAGGUAUCUGACAUCAUGGACCCAACCAUCAUCUGGAGUUUCUCACUUCAUCUCUGGGUAUCCGAUUUUGAGGUUUAAAAAGAAUUAUUUCUUACCUGCGUGUACCAGAAACUGGCCAAAUUUGAAGCAGAUAGUGACUACUCUGUGGAGAGACAGCUGAAGGGAAUGAUGUGGAAUAACGCUUUCCUGAGGCACACACUGGAUUAGGACCUUGGAAAGAGCUACUCUCUAACCUAAGGAGCAUUUCUCUGCAUUUUUUUUCUCUUUCGCACACGGUAGGCCUGAAGUCUACUUGAGAAGAACAGAUAUAAACCCAGCAUCUGGGUCAGACGCAAAGUUUCCCAACCUUGAUCUCAAAGGAGAAUUUCUGGACUCCGUGUUGCAAUAAAUAUGCAUAGAGUGGGUGCUGUGCAAAAACUUUGCCAUGGAUUAGCCCAUCUGCCCCCACCAUAGCCACAUCCUUCAGGAUAGACUCAUCUCACCGUUGUCCCUGUUCUGUAAUCUCCCUGGGAGCAAGGAAGGGAAAAAUAGAACACCACUAACAAUGGGUGAUUAAUGGUGGGAAUAAACCUAAAUCAAGACAAAAAAGCCAUGCAUAGGAUUUCACCAAAUGGUACUAGUCUGCUGCACUGCAGUGGAAUAUCAAACUCCCCAAUAUAGUAAACAACAUCUUCUCGAGGACAUACAAGCCACCAGAUAGAGAAACGCCCAUUACAGAGCUGUGGAGUCCUUAUGCUGUAGUGCUAUGCUGCCACAAAGUAGACACAAAGGAGUACUCGUUGAAUGAUAAAAGAAUCGAAUCUGGAGAUGGUCCAUGAAGAAAAUUCUGGAAAUUAUGGUUCUGACUUCUUUGCAAGGGGAUGACAAGGACGUUGAGGUGACAACAGUUUGGCACACUUAUUGCAACUGCUCUUAUUUCUUCAGUUCUCUGAAAUAGGCAUUAUCUUCACUUUUUAGGUGAGAAAAUGGUCACUCAGGGAGGUGAUUACAUUAUUCUGAAGUGUGAUUCAUGACAGACCUGGAUUCUGAAUAUUCCCUCCACUACAUCAUCAUUCUCUAGAUGUGGUACAA